rnacentral:lncRNA from 1 species
UUCAAAAGAGUUCGAGUCAGAGUUGUGGUCCUUGAUUGACUCUAAUCCGGACUGGACUUUGGAUGGAGUUUUUUGAUGUAUCAUGACUGUGUUUCGGAGUCCAAGCGGAAGUUGGCUUGGAGUUGUAUCCAGUCCCCACGAUGGAUUGCCUGCUCGUGCGGACUAGUCCGACUUAUAGUUGAGUCCGAGUUGUAGUCAAACUCGGCGUUGUUGAGAUCGAAAAAUUCGAAUUUCUCAACGAAAUCUUCCUCUUCCCGUCGACGAGAGUUUCUGCCGAGAUGAUUCUUCCCCGGUUCUUCGAUGAUGCGGCGUUGGAAACCUC